rnacentral:misc_RNA from 1 species
AACUUUUGGCAACGGAUCUCUUGGUUCUGGCAUCGAUGAAGAACGCAGCGAAAUGCGAUAGGUAAUGCGAAUUGCAGAAUUCAGUGAGUCAUCGAAUCUUUGAACGCACAUUGCGCCCUGUGGUACUCCGCAGGGCAUGCCUGUUCGAGCGUCAGUGCAACACUCAAGCUCAGCUUGGUCUUGAGCCCAGCCGGUAAAAUGGCAGGCUUUAAAAUUAGUGGCGGCGCCAUUAGGCUCUAAGCGUAGUAAUUAUCCUCGCUAUUGAGUUCUGGUGGUAGCUUGCCAGCAACCCCAACUUUCUAAGUUUGACCUCGGAUCAGGUAGGGAUACCCGCUGAACUUAAGCAUAUCAAUAAGCGGAGGCU